GACGUUCGCGGCGCUCGCUGCGAGGCGGGAGCGGCUCUGCGGGGUGAGGCUGACACCUGGCGGCCGCCUCUGCGCCGCUCGGGGCACGUCCGGCCUUGUCUGAGACGGGCGGUUCGGUUCACCGAAUCGGAGUAUCUCGGGUUGGAAGGGAGCCAUAAGGAUCAUCGAGUCCAGCUCCUGGCUCCACACAGCGUCAUCCCAAAUCCAAACCCUAUGUCUGAGAGUGCUGUCCUAAUGCUGAUUGAACUUCGGCAGCCUGGGGCCGUGCCCACCGCGCUAGAACCCUUUCCCUAAGCCCAGCUGCUCCUCCCCUGACGCAGCUCCACGCCAUUCCCUCGGGCUCCGUCGCUGUCACACAGGGCAGAGCUCAGCGCUGCCCCUCCGCUCCCUGUGAGGAGCUGCAGCCAUGAGGCCUCCCCUCAGCUCCUCUGCUCUGGGCUGAGCAAACGCAGGGUCCUCAGCUGCUUCCCAGCUUCCCCUCCAUGACCCUUCACCAUCCUUGUACCCUCCCUUUGGACACUCUAUGAUAGUUUUAUGUCCUUUUUGCACUGGAGUGCCCCAAACAGCACGCAGUACUUUCCCUAUAAUUUCCUACUGUACAUUAUAAUUGUUCCAUGGAGCUCAUGGCUGAUGUUGCACAAUACAAACAUAUCAUUAGAAAAGCAAAUAUGCUCCGAAUUGGAGCUUUUGAUUCUAACUUCCCAGACUCCUCAUUCAUAAAGUUUGAUGCAUAGGAAAAAUUCAGUGGUGAACACUGGCCGGUUAGGCAUGCUGUUGGACUCUAAUUUCUGAGUGAAUCAAGCUUUUUACAUUUCUUUAAAAAUAAAGUUUUAUUUUCUUUAUUAUUAUUAUUAUUAUUGAGGCAGAGAAUGAAUAUGUAACAAAUAAUCUCCUCUAGGCAGAGCCUAUCUGAAGCUUAUGGCUUAUUAAGCAUCAUACAUAUGACCAGUGCUUAAAAAAUACCAUAACUAAAUCCAGCGAGAGGAUGCACAUAAAUCCUCAAUGCUAUCUAUUCUCCAGGCACUAGCAAGGGCACAGUGAAAUUGUGGGGGAGCUGCAGGUGCACCGCAACGCGGGUAAUUCCUGAAAGCCUUGUGUCUGUCAGCUCCCAAGGGCAGGCGGAACAUCUCAGUGCCAUGGAAAGGAUUUCUCCAAUGACAAGUGGUUUGUGUGUCUCCUUUGUGGGGGUACAGCAUAAACUCCCUCUAUUUAGUUUGGUAGCUGAUGGGAGAGAGAGAGAGCGGAGCUUUAGCUGCCCUCCCUUCUGCUCCAUUUUCCUUUGAAAAGUGUUCUGCUUCUGGCAUUAUUAACUCUGAAACUCCCCAUACAGCUGUGGGCUGCGAGGACUGGAUCUUCUAUGCAACCAUGGAAGAGGCACAAAGGUUUCCUUGUGACCACUCACUCUUUUUGUGUCCCUACAAAAGCCCGCUCACAAUGUAGUAUGCUGUUAAUAGCUAAAGCACAAGAUGUGGUAAUGUAAAUGAAGCCUGAGCAGCUGAAACGAAGGUUUCGGGGAGACUGGGGUCUAAAUGAUUGUGCUUUAUCUUCCUUAUUGAGUAACUGCCACAUGACUGUUUUGGCUUAAUCCCUUCAUAGCACUUUAGGCAGAGGCAAUUCGUUCAGAUGUUUAAACAUAUAUUCAUUAUAUGCUGUAUGUGCUCAGAUGUCCUUGUAUGUGAAUAUGGCUUUGUUAGUACUCUGUCCUCAAGUAUAUAUAUCACCUGUCUGUUUGAUUACUGAGGAAUUUUGGCAAAGUUUUGGCUUUGUUGCAAGACUGUACCUCCCAUUCCCUGAACUGACAUUAUAUUCUUCUCAUUAACAUGUACAAAAAUGCACUUUUUUUUUUUUUUGGCUUGUUUACUAAGGGAUUAUUAAGAAUUUGCAAAACACCAGCAUGCAAGCAAAGGAACUGAGCAUCAUUGAGACUAUGUGUGCAGUAGAGAUCCAAAGAGCUUUGGGUUUUUCAAAGAAACGAGAGUCGGGGGCCCCUGAGAAGUGUACGCAUGCCAUGAAUGCCCCUUCUGUUUGUCAGCUCUGCAGCAGUGUCAAAGAAGCUCCUAUCUCUGACAGGCAGACCUGACAGACAGCAUUGUUCAUUCGGUUUUUAUUCAAUAUAAGGGUCACAGAUCCCAGUGUCAGGAUAAAGUAAGACUAAGUAAGUGUCUGAUUGAUCCUGCACUUCUAGGACAUGGCAGUCUGGGAUGUGGGUACUAGAUGUAAUUCAGAUUUUGCAAGCAUGGGAUAAAGACUCUGAAAUGAAGUUGAAAGAUAGGAAUUGUUUGUUAGGGUGGAGGCAAGCCACAGUAAGGAUUUAAAUCUAUUUCUACAUAUAAAAUAUGUAGCCUGCAUACAGUUCCUAAUUUUCAUUUUUAUUUUCUAUGACAUCUUGCCAAGUUGAGGGAACAGUAGUGAGACAAACUGAUGCCAUAGAGCCUGUGAAAAAAGGAAGGUAAGAAGAAAUCUGAUCUUCUUGGCACUGUGCAAAAAUCCUGAUAAAUUCAUCAUCAGCCACUGUGGAACUGUGCUGUUUCAGAACAACUGACAACCUCAUCAUGCUGGUUCUUUUAUUCUGGGAAAGAAUUUCUGUUCUUUACCUGAUACAUUCUGCUAAAUUGGGUGUUUGUGGCUUCUACGAAAAUGAACCAUAGUAAAUUAUUAUUGUUACAGAGAUGUGGGUAUGUGAGCCUAGUAUGGUCUCACAUCACUGUAAUUGUAGAUCUCAUUUAAAGGAGCCAUAUACAACAAGGAAUAAAUAUAGUGGACAGCAUUUUCCUCACCAGCCAAAGAAGACAUCCAAAGUGUCAUUAACUUGUAGUGGAAACUAGUCCUUUAAAAUGCUCAGCUGCCCCUGAACCUCCCUCUUCAAGUGAUCCCCCUGAACUGCAAAGAAAAAGAAGUUUCUGCACAGAUGUUGCCUGAGAACACCUGUGUAUAACUAAGCAUAAGGAGGGGGUUGGAGCUUGAUGAUCUUUGAGGUUCCUUCCAACCCAUGCCAUUCUUUGAUAAAGCUGGACAAUCACUAUAGACAAACAGAAGCAAAUGAGGGUUCUCUAAUAUCAAGUUUCUAUUGCCCUUCUUCUAUCCAAAGACCCCUGAGAAUCAGGCUAGAACAGUUACACACAAAACUUUUAAGAAAGUCAACCAACACAAAUGUUCUUCAUUGGAAGUUCAUAAUGAAUGUUGAAUUGCUUUGUUGUCACAGACCAGCUCACAGUUGUGCAUUUCAAUUUGCAUCUCAGUGCCAGCAGAACUCAUGUUUCCUUAGAGAAGGAUGUAUUUUGAAGUAAGCGUUCCAAAUGCUUAUAAAUUCAGCUCCUAAUGAUAGAGUCACUGUGAAGUUAUUGUUUAGACAGUGGCUGAGAUUUGAAGUCACCUCUGGAAACUGCGUUGCCCAAGAUCCCCCUCAAGGAUUGGUCAGCAGGAGCGGGUUGCUCAGAUUCUGUCCAGUUGGGUUUCGAGUAACUCCAAGAAUCAAGGCUCCAUGAUUGAUUUGGGCAGCCUGUGCUGGUGUUUGAGGACCCUCACCUUAAGAAAGGUUUUCCUUGUAUUUGGGUGGAAUUUCUUGUAUUUGAAUUUAUGCCACUUGCCUUUUGUCCUGUCACUGAGAACCACUGAGAAAAGUGUGGCUCGUACUACUUUAGGCACACUCUUCAGGUCUUUAUGGACAUUGAUGAGAUCCCCCUGGUCCUUCUCUUCUCCAGGCUGAGCAGCCCCAUCAGAGUAAAGGUGGCAGUCUGGGAACUCUGCAUCUGAAAUCAGUUCUGGAACUGACAUAUUUGAGAAAAUUGGAGUGAAAUUCCAUGCUGUGUCUCUAUAGUAGAAGCACAAGGGUCAUGACCCAGGUGGAAGAUAGGUUAAAGUAACUUCAAGAUACUUUUGUGCUCCUUUAACCUUGGAUUGCCCUGGGGUCUGCUGAAAGCUCUAGCGUAAUCUAUUCAGCUAAAAUUGUGGCUCCUCCACAGUGUCCUAAGGGGAUGUGAAAUAGGAUUGCAUGAAAUAGAAAUGUCAUGGCUGAAAUAGCCGUAAUGCCAUUCCUCUUGUCCCCACUCCAAACUGUAGCACGCUUGUUAUACUAGACCUUGAGAAAGAAUGUUAGGAACAAGGCUUUUUGCUUUUUUUAGUGCUUCUACUAAGGAAAUCUGACAUGUUUUGAGGGAUUUUUAGGGCCCCUUUAGACCUCUGUGUUGCUUCUUCAUGGAUAACAGUGAAGAUGAGUCUUUUCUGUUUAAUCCCUCUAAGUCUCAGGUAUAAGAUGUUUUUCUUUUUACUUGUCCCUAAGUAGUAAGCCUUUUAGAUUUGAUUUGGAUUUUAUUCCACAUGUUGGCCCUGUCUGAGAGGAGUCUAGAUUUUUCUCUGAGGAUGUCUAACAAUGCUGGAAAGUAAAUAAUCAGGACAAAACAGAAUGCUUGACUUUGUAUUAGGUCAUUUUACUUUUCAGGAGUGAAAAGUGCAGGAAGGCUAGGGGAGGCAGAAAAUGACUCAAUUUAACUAUGGUGCUUUCUGGUUGUGCGGACAUCAUUCGGAAACAUCACCACAAUGAAAUAUAGGUCUUUGUUCUCUGUCUGUGAAGGAAUUCUGUCUUCCCUGAAGAUGGAGGCAAAAUUCAAGAGGUACUGGACUGCACCUGAGGAUUGCUUUGUCUACAGCAACAGCAUGAGCAAAUGAUGUCCAGGAUCUGUGUCUCUCCUUACACCAUCAAGACUGCAGGGACACUGGGGCCAGCUGGCAUUUGCUAAAGCUACAUGAAACGCAAAUGGAUAUACAGAAGAAUGCUUUCAUUUGUAGUUACGUCAAGUGGAGAUGUAACACUAGGAACAUAAGGAUGUUUGUUGAUGCAAGGACCACCAGGCACUGAGCACUGGAAUUUUGCUCAAAGGAAGCAAGCCAGAUGGGAAGAGAAAAGAAAUCCCCAGCUUUCAAGUGUCACAUCAUCACAGGCAAUAAGUCCAUGAGUGUUGUAGAUGACUGGAAUAAUCCUCUGCAUGGGAAGUCUCCUAAGGAAAAGGGAUUUCACUUGGUACUAUUAUAGUUGCCUUGGUUUAAAGCAGAGAUGAAUUCAGGACUGUAAAUUUUAUGCUAAUGGUCUUUGUCCUCCAGUCAAUACAGAAGGAACAGAUUGGAUUAUCAUCAGAAAAGCUCAAGUGGUUUGAUUUACCUGAAGUGAUACUCAUUGUUUGUUCAGAAUUAGACUGAUGAAAAAGGAGGUUGAUUGGACAAAACCUCUUUUCAAAUUCUAUGGCUUGAGAAUCCAUUUUAACUGAUUUUUCCAGAAAUGUGUCAAAAUAAAUUUGAAAGACAAUACUUAUAACUACUAAAAUAACUACUGCUAUUUCAUGUGGUUAUGGAGCAGUCACAGUGAUAUGCCUUUAAAAUUUUUCUUAUUGCUUUAACCAUCCAUCUAGAUGCUGUGAAGUAUUUGCUUAUGUAAUAUCAAAACACUUGUUAAAUUUUCUACCCUUCCUCCCCUUGUCUGCUUUUUGUUGUUUAGAAGAACACUACAUCUAGUAUUUAAAGUGUUUUGGAAACAUAAAGGAUAAAAUUACUUAGCAUGACUUGAUUUUUAGUGACAAUGUUUGCUGAUGUGCUAGUUGGAAUUUACCAAAUAGUAGUUGGAAUUUUUUUGAACCUGAUCAUUGUUUUUCAAAAUGUUCACCCUUGGAGGCAACAAUUUCAGAACUAAGCUUUUGUUGAUAUUUGAGCAUGAAUCAUCUUUGGAAUGUCUGAGGAGAGCAUUGGCUUCUCUAUUUUUAAGUUAAGGUGGAAUGAAAUAACAAAGAACAAUUCAUUCAUUGCAAAAAGAAAACCUUCAUGUAAUGCAUGGUAGUGAUAGCCAGUGAAACAGGCAGAUCUGUGAUAGUUACAGAUAGUUAUAAAUUUCUUUUUCCAUUCUUCUGUGCUGAAAUCAUAAAUUAACUUUUAAGAUGUUUUUCUUGCAGAAUAUAUUGGGCUUUGUAGAUCUUAAGAAAUAGUAUCUACUAACAUAAAAGAUGAUUUUCUUAGUGAUUCAAGAGAAUGUUGCACAUGGACACAUGCUAGGGAUACUCUGAAAAGCUGCUCUAUACCUAAUACAGCUGAUGAAUACAGUUGUAAUGAAUGAUACAUAAUGCAUGCAGAUUUGAAGUUUGUUUCCAGUCUUGUAUGAACUGUAAAUAAAUACGUUGACCACU